rnacentral:tRNA from 1 species
AGUUUAGUAGCUCAGUUGGUAGAGCAUGAGACUCUUAAACUUAGGGUCAUGGCUUUGAGCCCCACAUUGACCA